GAUGAAGAACGCAGCGAAAUGCGAUAAGUAAUGUGAAUUGCAGAAUUCAGUGAAUCAUCGAAUCUUUGAACGCACAUUGCGCCCGCCAGUAUUCUGGCGGGCAUGCCUGUUCGAGCGUCAUUUCAACCAUCAAGCCCUGCUUGCGUUGGGGUCCUGCGGCUGCCCGCAGGCCCUGAAAACCAGUGGCGGGCUCGCUAGUCACACCGAGCGCAGUAAUACAUCUCGCUUUGGGCGUGCGGCGGGUUCUUGCCGUUAAACACCCCCUUUUUACCAAGGUUGACCUCGGAUCAGGUAGGAAUACCCGCUGAACUUAAGCAUAUCAAUACGCGGAGGA
rnacentral:misc_RNA from 1 species